GUCGGUCGCAUCUUCAUCACGCGGUGUUCUAGAACUCAUUCUAACACUGUCUGGUAAAGAUGCGAUCGGC
rnacentral:pre_miRNA from 10 species